rnacentral:lncRNA from 1 species
CUGACUCCAGCCCUUGGACUCAGGACAUCGCAGACCUUCCCUUGCGUGCGUGACUCAUUCGCACAUCCAUUUCUGUUUAUGCCUGGGGUGGGGAGAAAAAUCCCAAACCAGGCCCCCAGCAGACUGAAUGGUGCCCACCAACAUUGGUGGUGGUUCUUCCACACCUGGUCCACUGAGACAUGCUUAUCUCCUCUGGAAACAGUCUUGCAGACACACCCCCAAAUAAUGCUUUACUAGGUUUCUAGGUAUUUCUUAAUCUAAUCAAGUUGACACCUAAAAUUAACCACCACAGUACCCUUGCCUUUUUUGCCUUUUAUGAUAUUGAAAUUUUUGAAGAUUCCAAGUUUGUUGUCUGUGAAUUGGAUUUGUCUGAUUGUUUUCUCAUUAUUAGAUUCAAGUUAAACACUUGUGGUGAGAAUUUUUUGCAAUGUUCUAUCCCUCCCCGUGCAUCAUAGGUGACACCUAAUGUCAGUUUGUAACAUCACUGGUGACAUGAGGUUUGAUCAUUUGGUUGAGGUGGUAUUGCCAGAUCUCUCCAUUGAAAGGGCACCCUUUUCCCUUUGUAAUUAAUAAAAUUAUCUGUGAGGUGA